AUGACCGUCAGGGGCUGAUUUCACUAAAGGCUUGUAAAACUUUAUUCCGCCAACUCCAAGUCUGUACCUGUCUAUCAGGUGGAGUGGGGGACAACCCCGCACUCGGGGACAGAACGUCCUGUGGACUAUGACCAUGUAAAUCUGUGUUAUUUAUUGAUUUAUUUUUUAAUUUCCCCAGUGCGGCGGUGUUUAAUGACACACGCUGACAGAGAUAGCUAGGGGACUUGUGAAUUGGCAGUGAGUAACUCGGAUUUCUCGGAGAAAGCACAUGUUUACAGAUGUGACGCGGGGAAACGGUAGGUAGAUAAAAAAAAAACUUGCGACAUAUUUCCGAGUUGUGCGUCGAUCGAGACGAAAGAAGGAGAACAGGAAGAAGUCUGAAGACGGAUGUAUCACAAUGAGCCGCGUAUCGGGCACGCAGCGGUUUGUCUUCACUUGUGCUCUGUGAGCCAGCAUGCCAGCAACACGUGCUUUUCGCUAGAACUUUAAUUGGCGGCCGCUACCUUCGUCCAUGUUGGAUUAUUCCGUGCGCUGCCGGACCGGUGUUUGAAACGAGGUUUAUUGGACAAAUAAAGACAUGGGGACUCAGGGAGCAGGACGGAAAAGAAAUCCUAAUAAGGAGAGGAUGACGGCAGAGGAAGAUGCCCUGAAUCUUAUAGCGAGAGAGGCCGAAGCCAGGUUGGCAGCAAAAAGGGCAGCAAGGGCAGAGGCCAGAGAAAUUCGCAUGAAGGAGCUGGAGAGGCAACAGAAAGAGCUCUCAGAUGACGAUGAGCGGAUGUCAGUGGGGAGCCGGGGCAGCGUCAGGGACAAUUGCUCGGUUUCCAGUUUUCUGAGGAGUGCGGCCAGUAGCAGUGGUCUUCCCAGGGACCUGGACGAUGUCACUAUCCCCGACUUCUCUGAUGUUGAGGACAGAGAUUAUAUUGAGAAGGGAUCUCGAGCAGCUUCUGCCUUAACAGCAGCAACCCUCACCUCCCUAGGUGGGACUUCCUCCCGGAGAGGAAGUGGUGAGACGGCCAUAACGGUAGAUAUUGAGGCGGCCUCUAUACGAGAAAUUAAGGAGAUUCAUGAACUGAAGGAUCAAAUUCAAGAUGUGGAGUCCAAGUACAUGCAGAACCUCAAAGAAGUCAAGGACGCAUUGGUGGAGAUAGAGGAGAAGUACCGCAAGGCCAUGGUGUCCAAUGCCCAGCUGGACAAUGAGAAAAACAACUUGAUGUAUCAGGUGGACACGCUGAGGGACUCGCUCAUGGAGCUGGAAGAGCUGCUGUCCGAAUCACGGCGUGAAUACGAAGAUAAAGCUAAGGAUUAUGAAAGAGAAAAGCAUGCCCACAGCAUGCUUCAGUUCCAGUUCAACGAAAUGAAAGAGACGCUGAAGCAAAGUGAAGAGCUGUUAAAUAAACAGGGAAUUGUGUUGGGACCGGAUCUGAACAUCAAUGGGGAAGUGGUUGAGACAGAAACUGAGGGGUCAUCCAGUGGGGACCCUGCCUCUCGACUGGCUCAGGAUUCCCAGACAUCUCCCACAGAAGGAAACAGCAUGUUGGGCAGAGCACGGGAGACUCAGUUAAGAAGUAGUGGAGAGGAAGAGUUGGAUCCCAACCAGCAUCAAGAGACACUUGAAGCUAAAGAGAGCCAAUUGAAUUCUGCUACACCCUGUAGUGUUGCUAACGUUUCUCAUUUGGAAUCAUCUUUGGAAGAUCAGCAGACAUGCUUUCCCACAAUCAGGGACACCAUUAAUGAAAGUGGCCUCGGCAAGGACUCUGACAAUGACAUCCCGAUGAAAUAUGUCAAAAAUGAAGGUGGCAAUGUUGACAUUCAAUGGAUUGAAACAGGACCUGUGAAAGAAGAUGCAGGUUUUGAGGCCAAUGGAACAGGGCCAAAGAUAGAGGGAGGAGAUUUAGGAGAGACAGGUGGAGGAAGUAUGGGAAUUAAAAAAGUUACUACAGGGGAAUCAGAGAUCAUAGUCAGCAACAGUAGUGAUGACAUAAGGGAAACAUCUGGUAACUUUUUGGAAGAGCCUGUAAGAGUUGAAGCAUGUCAAUUGGAUACAGAAUGUACAAUCUCAAGUGCACAGCAAAGUGAGGUCUUAGAGAAUACUGCGAAAAUCAGUUCACCUGAUGAUUCAAAUCUAGUUAGAAUUACUGAGCCUCAACAUGAAUCUGAUAAUGCAGAUAACACAGAGAAUGAAGAGCUAGAGGAACGCUCGAAAAAAUCGCAAUCCCACAAUGAUGUUACCCCUGGCAAAAAGAAGAGGAAGAAAAGGAAAGGCAAACGUAAAAAGCGAGGCACUCAAGAGGACGAAAACCAGAGGGAUGAUGCAAAGCAACAAUGUCUAACAGAGAAAGAAAAAGGCAAAACAGAAGAGGGUUUAGAGUUGGUGACAAGAGAUAAUGGACCAUCUGUAGAGCUUGAGAUUGAUGGUGGUCCCAUUGAGUCUCCACGGGAAUUUCUGAUGGAUCCACCUCAAGAUGAUCAAGAACAACACCAUACUAAAGAAACUGAGGAGGAGCAAGCAGUGGUAUCUGUGGGACUCAAUACAGAGUCCAUCCUCAGUACAACUAACCCUACUGACAAUUCCCAAAUUACCAACUGCAUGGAUGACAAUGAUGCAGAAUGCACCUCAAUUGCAGGCGAUUUUAAAGAUGAUACAGGAGUCCUAAACAAGAACGAUGUCCUUCAGACUGAACUAAAAAUUGGUAGCACAAAGAAUGAAACUGGAUCAAGCACUGAGGGUAGAUUAGAAUGCCCAACUAAUGACCCUCCCAAUGACAAUGAAACUACAACUAGUAAUGCCAACUUUGAGGCUGAAUCAAAGGAUCCAAUCAGUAUAGAUGUAGCCAGUAACAAGACUGAUCCUGCAAACAGUCUUGAAAGCAAUGAUAACAAUGUUGCCCCAUCAAAAACAGCUGGCCACAUUGAGUGUCUCGAGCACUCUCUUGGUACUGAAGAACCUGAAAUAAUUGCAACUAUAAGCUCAGGCAAGGAGGACACUGAGGUAACCGAGACCAUCAAAGAUCUGGAGCCAGAUGUAGAGAUGGAGGAAAAAGCCUUUUCUUGUAAUGUCAUUACUGCAGAUCAUGAUUGUGAUCAUUCAGAGCCAAGCCAAGAAGAGUUAGAAAGCAGGGGAUUGAAUGAAGUUGCAAAAGAAUCUGAACAUUCGCUUCAGCCUGAAGCUAAUGGCGUCAUUGAGUGUCUUGAGCACUCACCUGGCACCGAAGAGCCUGACCAAACUACAACUAUAAACUCAUACAAGGAGGACACUGAGGUAACAGAGAGCAUCACUGAUGAGCAGCCAGAUUUGGAGAUUGAAGAAAAAUCCUUUUCUUAUCAUGUCAUUACUGCUGAUCAUGACUGUGCUCUUUCAGAGUUAAGCUUAGAGGAGGUAGAAAACAAGGAGUUGAACGAAGUUGUCGAGGAAUCUGAAGAGCCGCUUCAGCCUGACUACUGCUCAGGGUCAUCCCCAACAGAUGCAGAGAACUGUGGCAAUAUACCCUCAGAGAAGUGCUGUAGUGGAUCUGUCAAUGAGCAGAACUUUUCAGAGACACCAAUCCAAUGUGAACGUGUCAUGGUUAUAUCUAGUUGCCCAGUAGAAAGCCAGGGUUUGAAUACAGUGGAGUUUGUAGAUCAAAAAGAUGAAUCAAAUGUUGAAGUUUCCAUGGAAAAAGAUGCGAGCAAUAUCACAGAGAUAUCGCUGACAGAAAGAGAAAAUGAAAUAGGUUCCUUUGCAGAAAAGGACCACAGUGAUGGAGGACAGGCUAACUUCAAGGAUCUUGACCAUCAAAAUAGUGAAAAUGUUCAGGAACUUGAGAAAUCUCCUUGCCCAAAGGAAAGCCAAGAAAAUGAAUCUGAUAUAAUCAAGCCCUUGGAUAUCAGUUCUUCUAAAUUCAUCCAACAUGAAAGCGAUGAUGAUGUGGAAGGACAGUCAUUUGACUUUGAUGACAUAGAUUUGGAGGUGGACAUAAAGGCACACGAGGAGGGAGUCGAGAAGAUGUCAGAAAGUGUGUCAGCAAAGGUCAGCAAUGUUAAUUUAGGCCAUUACCAAAUUGAUGUCAUCAAGUCCAAUGAGGACACGGAGGAACAGCAGCAAGAGCUGCCAAAUGAGAGCAAUGAUGAGAAGUGUACUGUUGAUGAGGUUAGCGAGGUAGACACAAGAGGUCAGGAGUUGGACAGUGUGUCUGAAGACCAUCAAAGUUCAAUGGAUAAUGAGGAAGUUGCUAUUAAAAUCGGGGAAGAUGAAAGUAAGGAACAGCAGAAUGCAGUGGAGGAGAUAAGUGUAGCAGUUGAAGCAAAACACAUUUUAGAUGAAAAUGUUGGGAACCCUGGGGAGACGGGGUUUGUCGAAGGUAACGGUGAUGAGAAAGGAAUGCAGGCGUUGCCCAUACGCAUCGAGGAAGGAGACGAGGUAAUUAAGCAAGAAUUGCUGGGUGAACAGCUGGGCGUUCAGAAUAAAGAGGGCCAAGUGGGUGGCAACACGGAGCCAUUACCCUCUAAGAAAGACUUAAAAAAGAAUGGCAAGAAAGGCAAAGGAAAGGGCAAAGAGGACUGUAAGAUGUCCUAGUCUAUAGUUGACAAGGUUUGAUCUGUCCUCACUCUUUGAUGAGCUCUCGCUUUUGUGCAAAAAUAUUCAAAUAUAAAGUAUUUCAUAACUGUUAAUUUUAGUCAUUCCAAAUGUAUUGUAAGUAUAUAUUGUAGUGUUGUAGUGAGUAAAAACUCUGAAAACAUCAAAUUCCAUUGUGGUUGAAAUGGCAGAAUUUGUGGAGAGAUGUGAAUGAGAGUACUUUUCAAAGUUGGUUGCUGGACCAAUGAGAUAAACCUGCACUGGUAUUGUCAGAGGACAUGCUGUAUUUAUUUUCAUAUGAAUGCACAUUUAUCUUGCUGCUUGUAAUGUUGUACUGUCCCACUGGUAAUUCACUAUUAUUGUCUUGCUCUACAAAAGCAUUGCAAAAGUUUCUCGUCUCAUAUACAUUAUACAAUGAUUUCUGGAGGAUAUUCAUUUAUUUAACCAUUUAUUUGGAUUUAUUGUUUUAGUUAAGGUUAGAUGGCAUAUAAGUGAAGGUAAAGGAUAACAGAACUUAAUGAGAAAAGAUCUGAAUCUGACAAUUCAGCUGCCAUAUUGGUGUUAUGCUCAUGGUGAAAAAGAGUGUGUCUUCUAAAACCCGACUUGUUUGUAAUUAUUGAUUUGACUCAUUGAUUCAAAUAAGAGGGUAGAGUACAAUGGGGACUGCAAAUUGUUGUCUGAUAUUAAGUCUUUAUCUUAUUGCACUAUUACCCAAUCUAAAUGUUUAUCCACAUGCAUUUUCUGCAAAGAAACUACUUGUAUGGCAUGGCAAUUAUUAAAAUGUCUCAUCUCGUCUAGAAAUGUUGCAUUAAAUUUCUGUACCCUAGAUUAAUCUACGUUGAUUAAUUUUCCAUUCACUUCAGCACAUAUAAACGUAAGGGUACAUGUCUCCUCGUUGUCUCAUUGUGAGGCGUGAAUGUGGCCAUAGAGUGUGUGUGCCCUUGCACUGAUAUCCUCUCCACAGUUUCUGCAUGCUAACCCUCCCUUCAUACCACACCCCAUCACUUCUUUCCCGAUGCCUGCUCUGUUGCAUGCAUCAAGUGACCUCAAAAGGCCUCCUACCCUGACCCAGUUCCCCUCCCUCCAUCUCCUUGGCUCCUCCUUCCUCUGAGAUCCGUCUGAGGAAACUGGUGGACGAGCGUGAAAAAAUGAUAGAACAGGUGAAAAAACUUAAAGCCCAACUUGAGCAGAAGACACAGAAAAAUGGCACAGCGGGUGGCUCAAGCCCAGAUGGAG